rnacentral:lncRNA from 1 species
AAAAGUGCAAGGGCCUUUUCUACACUAUAUUAAAAAGCUCCACCCUUCUUCCAUUUCAAGUCCGCACAACCCUAGCUUUCAAUUGUCCGCCGCUCCCGUUUGCUAUAUUAUUUGGUAUACUUUCUCACCUUCGUUAAAGUUUUUACUUGUAGAGUUAUUUUAUGGUUUUCAUUAUGCAGGGUUACUAUGUUAAAUGUUUGAUUGUCUGCUAAGGAUGCUAAAAUAUUCUUGUGUUAUCAGAUAUUAAUUUUUCUAUGCAAAUUUAAGUCAAUUCUAUCUGGUUGUGCUAGCCACAAACUUUUUCUUUUUCCUUUUCUUAAGAUUUGUUGAACUCCAAAUUGCAUUAAUAUAUUGAAUAUUCUGAUCCAUUUUGUAAAAGUUGAAGUGCAUGUGUUCAAAUUUAUGUAAUACAUUGUGUGAGUGUGCGUGGACUAAGCUACCUGUAUUAUGUGGAAUACAUGGAACUUGCUUUCUUUAUUUUUCAGCAUUUUACACGGUUGUGGGUAACAGAGAUUUUGUGUGAAACACGGGAGGCGCUUAUACAUGCUCAUUUGAUGGAAGCAAUUAUCAAAUAAGGUCAAUCUAUUUUUAUGCAUUAGAAUUGAUUCAUUUAAUAUUUAUUGAUAUAGUUAAGUAACUUGUGAUUAGAUACGAGCGAAUUGGUGGUGGAAUCAAGAGGUAAAGCCAUAGUUGAGCCGUGAAUUAUGUUUGUGGCAUCGAGAUAAGUGUUCGGUCUAACCUUAACUUGAGGGAUUAGGAGUUGAGUCUAUUUGCUAUUUGCUUCUUGUUGAGUACGACGUAUAGGCAUGGUAACGAGUAUUUAUACGUUGGUGUCGAGCAUGACCGUGAGUCUUAAAUUGGUACUUGUUGUAUUCUUAAUGAUACUAUGGAUGCUUUAGUGGGUAAAUUCUUGGCAUUGAGCAAAGACUUAGUUUAUUUUCGUGGAAUCUACUUAUGAUUGAGUAAUGGUGAUAACUGAGAUGAAUAGGAGUUGAGUUAAGAUUGGUUAUAGCUGAUUCUCCCUUGCCGGAACGUAUAUACUUGUACUGUUAAAUUCCCUUUCCGGAAUGGUGUAGUUUAUUGUUGAUCCCUUGCCGGGAUGUAUAUACUUGUACUGUUGAAUUCCCUUGCCGGGAUGGUGUAGUUUACUGUUGAUCCCUUGCCGGAACGAUUAUUAUGAUUAUUGUUGACUGUAUAUUUGGAACGGGUUGCGCGCCGCAACAUUUUUAUAUAUGGAUCGGGUUGAACGCCGCAACAUUAUUAUAUAUAGAUCGGGUUGCAUGCCGCAACAUUAUAUUAUGUUGGAUCGGGUUGCACGCCGCAACAGUUAUAUAGAUGGAUCGGGUUGCACGCCGCAACAGUGUUAAAUGAUAAGGGGUCGGGUUGCGCGCCGCAAUAGUAGUAUUACUAUAUUGUUGUAGAUAUUGUACUGUCCUUUCAUAUUUCUAGUUAGUUUAUGCUAGAACUGAUAUGUUCCCCCGAAGCAUGUACCCCCUCCCAUUUAAGCUGUUUAUUUUCCGCCGUACAUUAUAUAAUUGCACAGGUUUAUCUAGAGUCUGAUCCUAGCCUCGUCACUUCCUCGCCAGGGUUAGGCCAGACACUUACCAGCACAUGGGGUCGGUUGUGCUGAUGCUAUACUCUGCACUCUGUGCAGAUACCGGAGCAGCAUUGGGAUAGUAGUGUGGGAGACAACCUUCAGUCCACAGGGAUUCCGAGGUAGUCCUACAGGCGUCCGCAGACCCGGCGUCUCUUCUAUCUAUUAUUAUGUUCUGUCAUCACUUGUAUCCAAUACAGACUGUGCUUCUUUCUUUCAGAUAUUUGUAUGUAGUAAUCAUAGACAGUCCGUGAAUGUUGUGACACCAGUUUCUGGGUAGAGACAUAUAUUGGCCUUUUGUAUUUAUUUUGGUAUUAUAUUUGUUUAAGUUUUCCGCUUAAUUUUCA